rnacentral:rRNA from 1 species
UACAGAGGAGCCAAGCGUUGUCCGGAUUGACUGGGCGUAAAGCGCACGCAGGUGGUCGUGCAAGUGUCGUGUGAAAGCAGCUCGCUCAACGAGCUGAGGCAUGGCAGACUGCAUCACUCGAGCCCGUGAGAGGUCGGUGGAAUUGCCGGUGUAGUGGUGAAAUGCGUAGAGAUCGGCAGGAACACCCAAGGGGAAGCCAGCCGACUGGCACGGUGCUGACACUGAGGUGCGACAGCGUGGGGGGCAAACGGG